ACGUUUUUAUUCUAUUGCUGCUAGCAAUGGCUAUGUUCGCUGUUGAUCUUUGCUGGCUGAGUCGACUAACUUAGCUGCCAACUGUUGUGGUAACUUUGGGAAAUGUGAAUAUGUCCUUAAUUUGAGCUUCCUUUCGGGGUUGUCGGAACGUAGAACUCUUAUCUGCGCGCUUUCCAUUUUUACACCGUCGACGGCGUGCACCAGCGGGAGGAUAGAUCUACUUCAUGCACAGAGGUGGACUACUACUACCGAGCAAGCAGGUCUGUGGAUGACGCAGUCAACACGGGACUGCACUUCAUCCUAGAACAACCGACAGCGCGGGGACGUACGCGAGGAUCCUGUUCGUGGACUUCAGCUCUGCGUUCAACAACAUCAUCCCCGAGCUCUCCUCCAAGCUUCUCCAGCUCAGCGUCUCGCCUACCAUCUCCCAGUGGAUCUACAGCUUCCCGACGGGCAGGACACAGGACACUCUCUGCAUUUGAAGAUCCAAUCUACCCACAAGCGCUCACUUAACUUGUGGGAGGAGUCUGAUGUCGAGGUGUGAUGGGUGACUGUCAAGAACAAUGCAUGAGUCCCCACAAUGACAUUGCACUCCGCAUUCUCCUGAAAGAGAUGGAUUCGCUCUGCAUUUGAGUCCUCGCAGAGAUUGAGCGACAGUCAGUCAGCAAGGGUCAGGUGAUGUCACCCAUCCGUCCCCCAAGUCUGGUCCAGCAUUCAUUAUUCUUCCAUCUGUUGACAAGUCCACCUGGUGCCUCUGCAGGUUGCCAAACUUUGGAUUAUCUAGCAUGACAGUGUACCUAGGGGCUGUUUGGACCAAAUCCACUCCCGAGCUACCAGAGCUCCUACUCUCUCUUUCUCUCUCUACAUGGAGCCAGAUUGCCCUUCACUGGACGUUAUCAAGCUACUCUAUCAAAGACAUGUGUCACCACCCCCACGCUAGGACAACACCACUUCGCUGUAGUCGAGCUGCACCACGCAAUUAAGGACAGUGCGCUUUGUCUUAUCCUAUCCUUUGUCCUACAUGUUUACCCAACAACUCGCUCAAAAACAACUGCAAAAAAAAAUACUCUCAUUUCAUGGCCCUGUAGACUGAUAAUGGUACUGUAUCACGUAGCAUUCAGUUUCCACAGUCGUGUUGUAUUGUGCUGUACAGGAUAACCUUGGAAAUCCUUCAGUCUUACUGUUCACUCACAGUAAAAAAAAAAAAAACAAAUAAAAAUAAACCCACUGGGAAUGAUCGCUCCUUCAUUGCUGUGCCUCACCAAGCACAACAUCCAUACGGACCAAACUCCACGGACCAAUCGUCCACCACUGAGGAGCUU